rnacentral:lncRNA from 11 species
AAAAUAAAAUAGGCAAAAGUAAAGUAUACAUAUACUGAAACAUUGUACUUUAUUUGGAAAUGAAAUUGGAAGUGAUACACAUUGUGUCCCCAAUGUAGCAGGAUGGUUGCUUAAAAGUUACUUUAAGGUUCCUGCCUUUAAAUUUAUGUCUUCCAACCCCUUGGGUGCAGCUAUGUCCACUUGAGAGCUGAACACCCCAUUAUUGGGUUCAGGUGGCUUCUGGCCUCUCCUGCUCUCCCAGUACAACCUCCUUACUGGGGACCAGAUCAUUUUCAGGGUCAGUUGCUGAGUACAAUGAGGAGGGAUCAUCUUGUGGAGCUGAAAUUAAAAAGUAACAAGUCACCUCCCAAAAUGUCUUGAACAAUGUAAGCUUAGCAGGGAUGCAAAAGGGUUCCAGGUCCUUCCACAGCACCUGUUUGUAAUUAAGCAUCCAUUUUCCUGACUGUUGGGAGGAAAGGCAGAAAGAGAGAAUCCAUAAGAGUCUCUUGCUUGGAGGGGUGCAGCAUUUCUGCAUCCUCUCAGUCCAGAGAAGUCAUACAACCUCCCUGCAUAAUCCACCGCCAGGACCACUCGGAGCCAGGAAGCAACACGAAAAUCCAGUUUGAAGCUCAGGCUUUCAGUAUUUGUGGUGUGGCUGCAGCUAAGAGUCAGCAGAUGGGCGCACCUCUCCUCAGAACUGGAGCCAAGCUCUCCAGAGCCACCCGCUUGAAAAUUGUGAGGAGCAGAAACAACAAUAACAAGCUUUCUCUUGAAGCCUCAGCACUUGGGGUUAAGUAA